rnacentral:rRNA from 1 species
AGAGUGAACGCUGGCGGUAGGCCUAACACAUGCAAGUCGAACGGCAGCACAGUAGGAGCUUGCUCUUACGGGUGGCGAGUGGCGGACGGGUGAGGAAUACAUCGGAAUCUACCUUUUGGUGGGGGAUAACGUAGGGAAACUUACGCUAAUACCGCAUACGCCCUUCGGGGGAAAGCCGGGGACCAGCAAUGGCCUGGUGCUGAUAGAUGAGCCGAUGUCGGAUUAGCUAGUUGGUGAGGUAAUGGCUCACCAAGGCGACGAUCCGUAGCUGGUCUGAGAGGAUGAUCAGCCACACGUGGAACUGAGACACGGUCCAGACUCCGUACGGGAGCAGCAGGUGGGGAAUAGUUAGGAACGAAUGGGACGCGAAG